GGUACUUUAAGGCUGUAGUUGUGAAUAUUUGGUUGUGAGCAAAACUGCUGGGGACAUAGUUUUAUUGAGGGGCUAUAUUUCAUCACAAUAGCCUUCCACUCUCGCUAGUAAGAGUAAAUACAGUGGGGCUUGUUUAAAAUUCUCCUGAACACUGUCUUUGGAGAGAAAGAGUUUGGUUUACCAAUGGUACCAUUGACUCUUGUCUUUUUUGGCACUUUCUUCAGUGAAUCAGUAAUGAAAAUGAGGGAGCUUUAGCACUUUGGAAAUAUAUGAACUCGUUCAGGCCAUUUGAAUAUCCAAAUGUGUCACUUUAAACUAUAAAGUCAAUAUAGAAUUUAUUUUUGCCUUCAUUAUAUG
rnacentral:lncRNA from 1 species